UCGGUUAACCGGUUCGGACUGAACUGAUUUUAAUUAAAAAAAUAUCAACUCAACCCAAAGGCCCUAAAAUCCCUUCCCAAACUCUAUAAGUUCACUGCUCUUCCUUCAUCUCUACGACUCUUCCUCAUCGUCCCCUUCUUGGCCUAGCUCUCUCGUCUCAGGUAUGAACCCUAUAUGUUUGUCAUCCUUCUUCGUUAACAAUCCCUUUAUUGAUUUGUAUAAAUUCCUCUGUUGAUUUGUCCGUAUCAUUGCAUAUCCUCAUCAUCAAGAAAAAAAGACUUCAUGUGAAGCCGUUAUUCCUUUGGGGGCAUCUUUCAAUAAAAAAUAAAAAACCACUUGCACAUAGGUGCAAUUGUUUAGAAUGAAAUUUAUGAUAUAAACUUUUUAAGAAUGUAGGUCCAAUUGGAUCAAAAUUUUGAUUUGGUUCGAUUAAACUCAAUUGAUUCACCGAACCGAACUAGUUUAUUUGAUAUAUAUAUAUAUAUAUAUAUAUAUAUAUAUAUAUAUAUAUAUAUAUAUAUAUUGCUUUAACCGUACUUAAAAUUACUUAAAAUUAAAAAUCAGUUAAUCGGAUUUUAACCAGUUCGGUUAGGCAGGUCUGAAAUGGUUCCGGUUUGGAGUACAUUGCUUUAACCGUAUCAAAUCGUUUUUUGAUCGAACCGAACCAGUUCAUUUGAAAUAUAUAUAUAUAUAUAUAUAUAUAUAUAUAUAUAUAUAUAUAUAUAUAUAUUAAAUUACUUAAAAUUGAAAAUCAGUUAAUUGGUUUUGAAUUGGUUCGGUUAGGUAGGUCCGACAUGGUUCUGGUUCAGAUUAUCUUGAUUUAAUCAAACCAAAUCGUUUUUUCAGUUUGGUUUGAUUUGACCCUUAAUGGUUUGGUUCAAACCUCUCUAAACAUUCUAGGUCUUUUGGACGCAGAUUUCAUAUGUUGAAGUAGGAAACAACAACAACAACAACAACCAAACCGUAAAUCCAACUAUCUGGGGUUGACUACAUGGACUUUUUACGCUGUCAUUAAAAUUUGUAAAAAUCACAUGUUUAGUUAAGUUUAGAGUACUUUAAUUUUUAUUUAUAGUUUUUGCUAAAGUCUUUUUAGAUCUUUCUCUAUCUCUUCUCGUAUCAUUAAUAUUAAUCAUUUCACCUCUUCUGGUUAUCGCAUCCGAGGUACCCUAAACACAUGAGCAUACUAUCUUAAAUGAUUUUCUCAUCUUAUUCUCAAUCGAAACGAUAUCUAGUUGUUCACGACAAGAAUAUUUUUUUUCUUGUCUUUCCUAGUAGCUCUAUACAUCCAUCUGAAUAUUCUCGUAUCGACAAUACAAUUUUUUGCACAUGUUAUUUCUUAACUGUCCAACACUCAGAUCCAUUAAGCAUUGUUAGUUUCACAACUAUCUAAUAAAAUUUUUCUUUUAGUUUCAAAAGUAUCUAAUAAUCACACAAGACUUUUGACCCUUGUCAUUUUAAUUAUCUUGCUUUUACUCUAUGAAUAAUAUCUUCAUGGAUCUUUUCAUUUGAUUGAAUAAUUGAUCAUGUUGAAGUAGAAAAUUGAAUUAUACCCUUAGAUGAGCCCUCUAUUGUUCCCAUUACUUAAUUCCUCACACUCCUGUCGUGGCUUCUGUGCGUCCACAAUGGCAAUAAAAGGUUUUAUAUUCUUCAAUGCACUACUGCAGCAACUUAUUUUCUUCAUUGAGAGGAACAUAAGCAUUUGGUGGAACCCUAACUUUCUUUGGAUGUCCUGCGUACCACAUGCCAGGAAUCUGUUGAUGUGACAAAAACAUGUCACAUGGGGGAAGCCAUCUCUUGUUGAAGAAUAAACUAAUGCCAAUCAUUGGAAGAAAAAUAAUGAUUGAUUCCUUACAUGAGAAAGCAAUUGUUGUUCAUCUUUGAUGUUGCUAAGAUAACAUGUAACUUAUGUUGGACUCCUGACAGAGUACAUAUGUCUGCAAACCCCCAAGUUAUUGGACCCAAUCACAUUUGAAGAACAAUAAAUUAGUGGCAAUCACGAGAAGAAAAAUAAUGAUCGAUUGCCUUAAGAAAUUAGCAAUCAGUAGACCAGAUAAAGAGCAGUUCAUCUUCUUCAAUGAUACACUAUUGAUGUUGCUUCAAGUCAAGUUCUCUGCAUGAAUUAGAUAAUGCUUUUAAUAUAUCCUUUGAUUUAUCACAAGGCUAUAGUUUACAUGUUUCUGACAUCUACCCUUGAAUUUGAAGCAAACUACCAGCUCUACUGAUCUACUCAUAUAUUGAUACUCUUGUGCUACUCCAUAUGAUGAGUUCAAUAAACAAGAAGAAGCAUUGCAUGUGCCCAUGCAAGCAAAUCUAUUGUAGCUACCUCAUCUGGUGGAUCUUGCCUCCCACUGUUCAUAUCUUUUCCCCUAUAUAUAAACCAAGCAGGAUCAUAUGAUGGAAAGUGAUUCUGAGAAAAGAACACAUAUGGGUUCUUGGUUUCGCAGCAUCACAUCUCCUCUCAGAAAAGCUUGCACCAUUUUCAACUCCUCACCUAGAGAGAAGAAGAUCCCCACAGGACAUGAUUGCAGCAGCAUCGUGAAGCUUCAUGGGGAAGUGAUGGCAUGCCGGUAUGAGGACGUUCGAGUUAUGUGGUCCAUCCUCGACAAGUCAAGGCCAUCUAAUGAUAUGGCAUCAUUCCCAGCUCACGAGUGAGGAUGCACUUGUGCCACUUCUAAUGCACCUUCGUAUGUAUGUCCUCACCUCACUGUUGUGGAUCUGUCUGUGCUUAGAGCUAAGAUGAAACAAAAUAUAAGUCUGCAUCGUAGGAAGGAGAGCAGAAGGUCCACAGGUUGUAAUAACAAUUCCCCGUGGAUGCUCUCGAGGAUCAUGGUGAGAUUUUAAAGCCAAAAACUGUGGUCUACUUUUUUGAAGCUUCAGAGAGAGAGAGAGAGAGAGAGAGAGAGAGAGAGAGAGAGAGAGAGUAGCUCAACAACAAAUUGUGGGAGAGAAGAGCCUUGCAGACCGAGAAUGCUUUUUCUUCUCUUUCCCAAACUUUGUGCAUUCUUUACUAUAAACGAACAAUUGCAGCACCAUCA